rnacentral:rRNA from 1 species
UCGAGGGGUAUUUGUCUUCGGACAGAGAGACCGGCGCACGGGUGCGUAACGCGUAUGCAAUCUACCUUUCACAGAGGGAUAGCCCAGAGAAAUUUGGAUUAAUACCUCAUAGUAUAUAGCCCUGGCAUCAGGAUUAUAUUAAAGUCACAACGGUGAAAGAUGAGCAUGCGUCCCAUUAGCUAGUUGGUAAGGUAACGGCUUACCAAGGCUACGAUGGGUAGGGGUCCUGAGAGGGAGAUCCCCCACACUGGUACUGAGACACGGACCAGACUCCUACGGGAGGCAGCAGUGAGGAAUAUUGGACAAUGGGCGCAAGCCUGAUCCAGCCAUGCCGCGUGCAGGAUGGCGGUCCUAUGGAUUGUAAACUGCUUUUAUACAGGAAGAAACACUCCCUCGUGAGGGAGCUUGACGGUACUGUAAGAAUAAGGAUCGGCUAACUCCGUGCCAGCAGCCGCGGUAAUACGGAGGAUCCAAGCGUUAUCCGGAAUCAUUGGGUUUAAAGGGUCCGUAGGCGGUUU